rnacentral:rRNA from 1 species
ACAGAGGGUGCAAGCGUUGUUCGGAAUCAUUGGGCGUAAAGGGCGUGUAGGCGGUUUGUUAAGUCAUGUGUGAAAUCCCUCGGCUCAACCGGGGAACGACGCAUGAAACUGGCAAGCUAGAGUACCAAAGAGGGGGGUGGAAUUCCGCGUGUAGCAGUGAAAUGCGUAGAUAUGCGGAGGAACACCGAUGGCGAAGGCAAUCCCCUGGGCCUGCACUGACGCUCAUGCACGAAAGCGUGGGGAGCAAACAGGA